rnacentral:rRNA from 1 species
UACGUAGGGAGCGAGCGUUAUCCGGAUUUAUUGGGCGUAAAGCGUGCGUAGGCGGUUUAUUAAGUUUAAGAUGAAAGGCUGGGGCUCAACUCCAGUUUGUCUUAAAAACUGGUAAGCUUGAGUAUGGUAGAGGUAAAUGGAAUUUCUAGUGUAGCGGUGGAAUGCGUAGAUAUUAGAAGGAACACCAGUGGCGAAAGCGAUUUACUAGGCCAAAACUGACGCUGAGGCACGAAAGCGUGGGGAGCAAAUAGG